GAUGAACGCUGGCGGCGUGCCUAAUACAUGCAAGUCGAGCGAAGCGGGGACGGGUGAGUAACACGUGGAUAACCUCCUAUAAGACUGGGAUAACUUCGGAAAACGGGAGCAAAACGGGAACCUAUAGAUGGAUCCGCGCUGCAUUAGCUAGUUGGUAAGGUAACGGCUUACCAAGGCAACGAUGCAUAGCCGACCUGAGAGGGUGAUCGGCCACACUGGAACUUAGACACGGUCCAGACUCCUACGGGAGGCAGCAGUAGGGAAUCUUCCGCAAUGGGCGAAAGCCUGACGGAGCAACGCCGCGUGAGUGAUGAAGGUCUUCGGAUCGUAAAACUCUGUUAUUAGGGAAGCGGUACCUAAUCAGAAAGCCACGGCUAACUACGUGCCAGCCGCCGCGGUAAUAC
rnacentral:rRNA from 1 species